AUUUGUGGACAAACCUCCUUGUCAAAGCCUGAUCUUGUCUGAUCUCAGAAGCUGCAGGGCUGGGCCUGGUUUGUACUUGGAUGUGAGAACGAUGGGAAUACCAUGUGCCACAAUGG
rnacentral:rRNA from 1 species